rnacentral:rRNA from 1 species
UACGAAGGGGGCUAGCGUUGCUCGGAAUCACUGGGCGUAAAGCGCACGUAGGCGGAUUGCUAAGUCAGGGGUGAAAUCCUGGAGCUCAACUCCAGAACUGCCUUUGAUACUGGCGACCUUGAGUCCGGGAGAGGUGAGUGGAACUGCGAGUGUAGAGGUGAAAUUCGUAGAUAUUCGCAGGAACACCAGUGGCGAAGGCGGCUCACUGGCCCGGUACUGACGCUGAGGUGCGAAAGCGUGGGGAGCAAACAGG